GAUGAACGCUGGCGGCGUGCCUAAUACAUGCAAGUCGAACGAACAGACGAGGAGCUUGCUCCUCUGACGUUAGCGGCGGACGGGUGGGUAACACGUGGAUAACCUACCUAUAAUACUGGGAUAACUUCGGGAAACCGGAUCUAAUACCGGAUAAUAUAUUGAACCGCAUGGUUCAAUAGUGAAUGACGGUUUUGCUGUCACUUAUAGAUGGAUCCGCGCCGCAUUAUCUAGUUGGUAAGGUAACGGCUUACCAAGGCGACGAUGCGUAGCCGACCUGAGAGGGUGAUCGGCCACACUGGAACUGAGACACGGUCCAGACUCCUACGGGAGGCAGCAGUAGGGAAUCUUCCGCAAUGGGCGAAAGCCUGACGGAGCAACGCCGCGUGAGUGAUGAAGGUCUUCGGAUCGUAAAACUCUGUUAUUAGGGAAGAACAAAUGUGUAAGUAACUAUGCACGUCUUGACGGUACCUAAUCAGAAAGCCACGGCUAACUACGUG
rnacentral:rRNA from 1 species